GUGCUCGCUUUGGCAGCACAUAUACUAAAAUUGGAACGAUACAGAGAAGAAUUAGCAUGGCCCCUGCUCAAGGAUGACACGCAAAUUCAUGAAGCAUUCCAUAUUUUU
ensembl:snRNA U6 U6 spliceosomal RNA